GACGAACGCUGGCGGCGUGCCUAAUACAUGCAAGUAGAACGCUGAAGGAGGAGCUUGCUUCUCCGGAUGAGUUGCGAACGGGUGAGUAACGCGUAGGUAACCUGCCUGGUAGCGGGGGAUAACUAUUGGAAACGAUAGCUAAUACCGCAUAAGAGUAGAUGUCGCAUGACAUUUGCUUAAAAGGUGCAACUGCACCACUACCAGAUGGACCUGCGUUGUAUUAGCUAGUUGGUGAGGUAACGGCUCAUCAAGGCAACGAUACAUAGCCGACCUGAGAGGGUGAUCGGCCACACUGGGACUGAGACACGGCCCAGACUCCUACGGGAGGCAGCAGUAGGGAAUCUUCGGCAAUGGACGGAAGUCUGACCGAGCAACGCCGCGUGAGUGAAGAAGGUUUUCGGAUCGUAAAGCUCUGUUGUAAGAGAAGAACGAGUGUGAGAGUGGAAAGUUCACACUGUGACGGUAUCUUACCAGAAAGGGACGGCUAACUACGUG
rnacentral:rRNA from 1 species